rnacentral:Y_RNA from 1 species
ACUUGGUCUGAUGCAAUGGUGUUUACAACUGAUUGAUCACAGCCAGUCGCAGAUUUCUUUGUUCAUUCUUCACUCCCACUGCUUCACUUGACUAGCCUUUA